rnacentral:rRNA from 1 species
AGGAUUAACGCUGGCGGCGUGCCUAACACAUGCAAGUCGAACGAGGUAGCAAUACCUAGUGGCAGACGGGUGAGUAACGCGUGGUCAACCUACCGUUGAGUGGGGGAUAACUAGCCGAAAGGUUAGCUAAUACCGCAUACGAGUCUCGGGGGCACCCCUGGGCCUUAAAAGGAGCAAUCCGCUCGAUGACGGGACCGCGUCCCAUUAGCUAGAUGGUGGGGUAACGGCCUACCAUGGCACCGAUGGGUAGCUGGUUUGAGAGAGCGACCAGCCACACUGGGACUGAGAAACGGCCCAGACUCCUACGGGAGGCAGCAGUGAGGAAUUUUCCGCAAUGGGCGAAAGCCUGACGGAGCGACGCCGCGUGUGGGAAGAAGGCCUUCGGGUCGUAAACCACUGUCGAAGGGGACGAGUAAUGACGGUACCCUUGGAGGAAGCCCCGGCUAACUACGUGCCAGCAGCCGC